rnacentral:lncRNA from 1 species
AUGUGGAAUGCUCUUGGGCUACCAGUCCCCUGUGUGCCGGUAUUGCAUCUUGUCAUUUUUUCCAGCCUUCCUCUGUUGGGGUUUGUCACAGCAGCUCCUUGCCUGUCUUUCAUUGCCUCUGGGGACGUUCAGUGCUCGGUCCAGCCCAGCUGGUGGGGACCAGGUCCUUGUGUUACAUUCAUGCUAAUUGUGCUGGGCUGUAGAAGCUUCGUUUUCUACUCCUUUUUGGAUGAAAACACUCCACAAGAACAGCCUCGCUGGGCAAGUGGGCAGGGGCGAGCUUGCGGGGUGAGCAGGGGGAGCCCAGUCAUGAGCAGGGCCCACAGCCAGCACGCAGGGCCCCGCGGCUCAGCCGGCACUGCCAGCCAAGACGCGCCAAUAUUUAAGCCACGAUGGGCAAACAGCGGGGCCGAGACAAAGGGAGCAGCAGAAAAGCUGGUGAGCAGGAGACAGCAGAGAGCAGCAUGGAGCCACGCUGGCGGCCGCCCACACCACAGGGCCAGGCCUGCGAGGAGGUGCGUGCUGAGGCUGAUAGCACAAGCGCUUCUGGUGCGCAGCCCUGCUCUGUGUGUGGGCAUGUUGCCUCACUUGGCAGCCAGAGCGCUAGCGAGGGUGCUGGGUUUGACUUGGAGAGCACAGGCUCAUUGGCAGUGUUAGUGCCAACAGAAGAUGACGCUUGAGCUCCUGAAGGCUGUUCAAAAGGCAGCAGGAUAAUGCCGUGCAUGGAGCCAUUUCCCUUUCAAAAAGCUUUAACAAGAACCUGCUACCUCUGGGUAAGAAAGUCACUGUAUAAUGUAACCAUGUUAUUUGGUGGCAGGGUGAUCAAACAAAUCACUGCUUGCUACUAAAAAUCCCAGCUGAACAAAUUCCUGCUGGGCGUUUGGUUGAGGUGGAUUUUUCCUUUGUGCCUUCAAUGUAGAUGACUGACCAAAGCCACACUUACAGCAUCAGCAAUUAAAACGUAGCAGCCCCUUAUUUGAACGACAGGGAGGAGGGAACUGUCUGAUAGCUAAAGC